GGGCGGGGCGUGCCCAAUCCGGCCGAGGAGCGUUACCAUGGCAACCGUGCCGCGGAGGCCUUGAGAGGCCACACGCCCUAUGUUGGUCUGCGAGAAAUCAAACUUCGAACAGGACAAGCCCGAAGCCCGCUUCUCCGGGAGACGGGGUGCCACAAUUGCAAGGACCCUUGCUCCACAGAAUUCUUUGCCUGGAAUUUUCUUCCCAGAAUCUUUGCAUGUCAUUCCCUCUGUUGCUGAGUUACCGGGAUCUCAAUGUAAACGUUACGUACUGACAGAGGCUGCUGUGAACUGAAUUGCGUGCUUCCCAAAAUUCAUAUGUUGAUACUGUCACCCCCGGUACCUAAGGAUGUGACUACAUUUGGAGAUAGCAUCAUCAAAGAGGAGUUCUGCAAUAAAAUGCCUGCUUUCUCCACCAGAUGGUAUUCACAAAAAUAGCUCACAUUAUGUUUUGCUUGUUUGCAAGUCAACAAGAUGAGGUCACCGAAAAGGUCUAACUGAUUCUGUCUGCUCAGGAAUGUUUCAGGCUUGGUCUCCCUUUUAAUUUACCUCGUAAAUCAUUUUGUAAUUUUUAUCUCCUACCCAUUCUGUAACUUGUUAAUUACUUUUAUACACAUGUAAUAUCUUUUAUGUGUGAUUUCUAAGUAUAUUACUAGUGAACAUUGACUGUUACAAGGCAUACCUUGUCUUAUUGCAAUUUAUUGUGCUUCCCAAGUGUUGGAUUUCUUACAAAUUGAGGGGUUUUGGCAACCUUACCUUCAGUGACUCUGUCAACAAUAUUUUUUCCAACACCAUGUGAUCUGUGUGUGUGUGUGUAUCUUUGUCAGCAUUUUUAUCAAUAAAGUACAUUUUUUAUUAAGGUA
rnacentral:lncRNA from 1 species